rnacentral:rRNA from 1 species
CCUACGGGAGGCAGCAGUGGGGAAUAUUGGGCAAUGGGCGCAAGCCUGACCCAGCAACGCCGCGUGAAGGAAGAAGGCCCUCGGGUUGUAAACUUCUUUUAUCAGGGACGAAACAAAUGACGGUACCUGAUGAAUAAGCCACGGCUAACUACGUGCCAGAAGCCGCGCUAAUACGUAGGGGGCAAGCGUUAUCCGGAUUUACUGGGUGUAAAGGGCGUGGAGGCGGGAGAGCAAGUCAGACGUGAAAUUCCAGGGCUCAACCCUGGAACUGCGUUUGAAACUGUUCUUCUUGAGUGAUGGAGAGGCAGGCGGAAUUCCGUGGGUAGCGGUGAAAUGCGUAGAUAUACGGAGGAACACCAGUGGCGAAGGCGGCCUGCUGGACAUUAACUGACGCUGAGGCGCGAAAGCGUGGGGAGCAAACAGGAUUAGAUACCCCAGUAGUC